rnacentral:lncRNA from 1 species
GGAAUUUCCAUUUAGCAAUCCAAGUAAGAGUUGACUUUAAUUUUUUUUUAAGAUUUAUUUAUUUAUUUGUAAUGUAUUCAGCGUUCAGCUUGCAUGUAUAUCUGCCUGCCAGGAGAGGGCACCCAUAUCUCAUUAUAGAUGAUUGUGAGCCACCAUGUAGUUGCUAGGAAUUAAACUCAGGACCUCUGAAAGAGCAAACAGUGCUCUUAACCACUGAGCCAUCUCUCUAGCCCCUGACUCUGAAAAAUUAUUAUGGAAAAAUAUAUAAAGUUUACAAUUUUGUUGUAUAAUUUAAUAGCAUUAGGUACACGGACAUAGUUGUGUGGCUAUAACCACUGUUCAUUGUGAAAUGGGUACUGUGAACUAAAUAUAAACCUCCCCGUGCUUUCUGUGUCUGAGCCUUAGAAACUUCUAGUGUAGAUAUUCCAUAUAAAUGAAAUCAUACGUUUUUUCUCAAUUUGUAUCUAGCUAAUUUCACUUAGCAUGUUUUUAAAGUCCAUCUGUUUCAUAGCAUAUGUUUGAAUUCCUUCUGGGGACUGGGGCUCAGUGGUGGAGUGCUUACCUGAUCCGAGUAAGGUCUUAGGUUUGACUCUAGCACCACAAAUAAAACAAAUGGUAAAAAGAAAAGAUUGAUUUGUAUGUCUGCAGGUAUUCUCAUACCAUGGCAUCCAUUCAGAAGGCAGAGGACAGGCAGCCUCAGGACUUGUUCUCCUGCCUCCAUGUUGGUUGCGGUUGCAGGGCUUGAGCUCCUGCCUUCAGACCUGGCAGCGGUGUCUUUCCCUGCUUUCCAUCUCACAGGCCCUUUGAAAACAUUUUAAUGAGGGCUGGAGAGAUGGCUUGGGGGUUAAGAGUACUCAUUGCUCUUUAUUAUGAUUAUGAUUAUUAUUAAAUUUAUUGAUUUACUUUACAUUCUGAUAACAGCUUACCCUCCUUCCUCUCCUUCUAGUCCCUCCCUCUCACCCCCCCUCCCCAUGCCCCUUUUCCUUUCUCCUCAGAGAAGAAGCAGCUUCCCGUUGUUAUCAGUCCACCUUGGCAUAUCAAGUUCCCGUAGGACUGGGUGCAUCUUCUCCUGUUAAACCUGGACAAGGCAGCCCAGUUAGGGAAGAAAGGAGUCCAGAGGCAGGCAACAGAAUCAGAGUUAGCCCUUGCUUCAGUUGUUAGGGUUCUCACAGGGAGACCAAGCUGCACAUGUGUUAUAUGUGCAGGGGCCUAGGACCAUCCCAUGUGUCCCUGAGCCACUCUGGACCCAGGUUUUCAGGUGGUGUCCUUGACCUCUGGCUCCUUCGAUCCUUCCUCCGAUUGCUGCUUUUAGAGGGUCCAGGUUCAGUUUCCAGCACCUAUAUGGAGGCUACAACUGUCUGUGACUCCAGUUUCAGAAAAUCUGACACCCUCUUCUGGCCUCUAUGGAUACUGCAUGCAUGUGGUACAUAGACAUGCACUCAGGCACAAACGCAUAUAUACAUG